rnacentral:rRNA from 1 species
CCUACGGGUGGCAGCAGUGGGGAAUAUUGGGCAAUGGGCGCAAGCCUGACCCAGCAACGCCGCGUGAAGGAAGAAGGCUUUCGGGUUGUAAACUUCUUUUCUGAGGGACGAAGAAAGUGACGGUACCUCAGGAAUAAGCCACGGCUAACUACGUGCCAGCAGCCGCGGUAAUACGUAGGUGGCAAGCGUUAUCCGGAUUUAUUGGGGGUAAAGGGCGUGGAGGCGGGAGUGCAAGUCAGAUGUGAAAACUAUGGGCUCAACCCAUAGCCUGCAUUUGAAACUGUACUUCUUGAGUGCUGGAGAGGCAAUCGGAAUUCCGGGUGUAGCGGUGAAAUGCGUAGAUAUACGGAGGAACACCAGUGGCGAAGGCGGAUUGCUGGACAGUAACUGACGCUGAGGCGCGAAAGCGUGGGGAGCAAACAGGAUUAGAUACCCCUGUAGUC